rnacentral:rRNA from 1 species
UAGUGGCGAACGGGUGAGUAACACGUGAGUAACCUGCCCUUAACUCUGGGAUAAGCCUGGGAAACUGGGUCUAAUACCGGAUAUGACUGAUCAUCGCAUGGUGGUUGGUGGAAAGCUUUUUGUGGUUUUGGAUGGACUCGCGGCCUAUCAGCUUGUUGGUGAGGUAAUGGCUUACCAAGGCGACGACGGGUAGCCGGCCUGAGAGGGUGACCGGCCACACUGGGACUGAGACACGGCCCAGACUCCUACGGGAGGCAGCAGUGGGGAAUAUUGCACAAUGGGCGCAAGCCUGAUGCAGCGACGCCGCGUGAGGGAUGACGGCCUUCGGGUUGUAAACCUCUUUCAGUAGGGAAGAAGCGAAAGUGACGGUACCUGCAGAAGAAGCGCCGGCUAACUACGUGCCAGCAGCCGCGGUAAUACGUAGGGCGCAAGCGUUAUCCGGAAUUAUUGGGCGUAAAGAGCUCGUAGGCGGUUUGUCGCGUCUGCCGUGAAAGUCCGGGGCUCAACUCCGGAUCUGCGGUGGGUACGGGCAGACUAGAGUGAUGUAGGGGAGACUGGAAUUCCUGGUGUAGCGGUGAAAUGCGCAGAUAUCAGGAGGAACACCGAUGGCGAAGGCAGGUCUCUGGGCAUUAACUGACGCUGAGGAGCGAAAGCAUGGGGAGCGAACAGGAUUAGAUACCCUGGUAGUCCAUGCCGUAAACGUUGGGCACUAGGUGUGGGGGACAUUCCACGUUUUCCGCGCCGUAGCUAACGCAUUAAGUGCCCCGCCUG